UCUCUAUCUCUAUCUCUAAGAGACUAAAACCCUAAACUUAGAAAUCCGGUUUCUUGCUUCAGGCAGCCUUCUCUCCGCCCGUAAGGUUCCAGCUUUAGCUCCUGGGGAGAGAAAAGAGAGAGAUUUUGGAGAGUUAGACGGUAGAGGCAAUGGGGGCGAGCAAGAAAGAAUCAGUUGAAGUGGAAAAAAGGGAGGAGGAGAAGAAGAAAAGCAAAAAAACCCAACCCACCAAGAAAGAGAAGCUCAGUACAGAAGAAUCCCUGCUUCAUAAAAAACAAGAAGACACAGCAACUGAUUACAAGGAAUUUUCCGAGGAUGAUUCUUCUGAGGAUUAUAAAUCAGCAGAGGAGUCAGAAGCUGGUGACAGCGAAACCUCUGGAGAUGAGGGCUUUCACAACACCGGUAGUAAUGAGGGCUUGGCCAAUGAAGGUCAGAGUGAAGACUCUGAACCUGAUCUGGGAGGUGAAGAGAGCGACUCUUCUGAGGAUGAGGUGGCUCCUAGAAAUACAGUCGGUGAUGUUCCAUUGGAGUGGUAUAGGGAUGAAAAGCAUAUUGGGUAUGACAUUGCUGGAAAGAAGCUAAAAAAGAAAGAAAAACAAGAUAAACUUGAUUCAUUUCUUGCGAAUGUUGAUGACUCAAAAAAUUGGCGAAAGAUUUAUGAUGAGUACAAUGAUGAGGAGGUAGAGUUGACAAAAGAAGAAACCAAACUUAUUCGUAGAGUGCUCAAAGGAAAGGCUCCACAUGGUGACUUUGAUCCAUAUGCGCCUUAUGUUGAUUGGUUUAAAUGGGAAGAUUCAAAGCAUCCAUUGUCAAAUGCACCAGAGCCUAAGAGUCGAUUCAUUCCCUCAAAAUGGGAAGCUAAAAAGGUUCUUGGACUGGUUAGGGCAAUUCGAAAAGGAUUAAUAAAAUUUGACAAGCCAAAAGAAGAACCUCGUUUCUACAUGUUGUGGGGGGAUGAUGCUAGCUCAUCAGAAAAGACUGGGCAUUUAUCUUACAUUCCUGCUCCAAAACCAAAUUUGCCAGGCCAUGAGGAGUCCUACAAUCCUUCUCUAGAAUACAUCCCAACACAGGAGGAGAUCAAUUCUUAUCAGUUAAUGGAUGAGGAAGACCGACCUAAAUUUAUACCUAAAAGGUUUACAUCUUUAAGGAGCAUCCCAGCAUAUGAAAAUGCUGUUAAAGACUCUUUUGAGCGCUGUCUGGAUUUAUACUUGUGCCCUAGAGUUCGCAAGAAACGUAUUAAUAUUGAUCCUGAGUCUUUGAAGCCUAAGCUGCCAAGCCGAAAAGAUCUCAAACCUUACCCAGCAACAUGCUAUCUUGAGUAUAGAGGGCACAAAGGUGCAGUUAUGUCAAUUUCCACUGAAGCUUCAGGACAGUGGAUUGCUUCAGGUUCAAGUGAUGGAACUGUGCGAUUGUGGGAGGUUGAGACUUGUAGAUGUAUUAAAGUCUGGGAGUUUGGUGAAGUUGUCCAAUAUGUAGCUUGGAAUCCUUUGCCGGAACUUCCUAUAUUGGCCGUCUCUGUGGGACAAGAUGUGUUCCUUUUGAACACUGGGCUGGGAAAUGAAGAAACACAGAGAAAAGUUAAGGAGCUUCUGCAUGUCGCGACAUCUACAGUUCUUGAUGGUUCUGGUAACAAGGUGUCCGCUUGGAACUGGCUUCAAGAUGACAAACAUGAAGGGAUCAGGUUACAGCAUUUUAAGACUGUAUACUCAGUGGAAUGGCAUCGUAAGGGAGACUAUUUCUCAACAGUGAUGCCAGCUGGUGAUUCAAAAGCAAUUCUUAUCCACCAGCUCUCAAAGAAAUUUACGCAAAGACAUCCAUUUAAGCUGCAUGGACUUCCAGUGUCAGCAGUUUUUCAUCCUACUCGCUCCAUCUUCUUUGUCUCAACAAAGAAGAAUGUUCGUGUUUAUGAUCUCUUGAAGCAAAAGCUGAUCAAGAAGCUGGAGACUGGAUUACGUGAAGUUUCCUCUAUUUCAGUUCAUCCUGCUGGUGAUAAUGUAAUUGUGGGAAGCAGAGAUGGAAAGUUAUGUUGGUUUGACAUGGACCUUUCAUCUAAACCUUACAAAGUUCUCAAGUGUCAUCCCAAAGACAUAAACAAUGUGGCCUUCCAUCGUUCAUACCCAUUAUUUGCAUCAUGCUCUGAUGACUGCACUGCAUAUGUUUUUCACGGCAUGGUUUAUUCUGAUCUCAAUCAGAAUCCUCUUAUUGUUCCCUUGGAAAUUCUCCGUGGACAUGCAAGCUCAAAUGGAAGAGGAGUAUUGGACUGCAAGUUCCACCCACGGCAACCGUGGUUAUUCACUGCUGGUGCUGAUUCUUUGAUAAAACUUUAUUGUCACUAAGAUGAUGCAAAAAGAAGCAUGUGUUACUUCAGGCCAGUUUGAGAAAGAUUGUAAGCCAGAUGACAAAGGGAUGAAAGUAGCUGGAGAGAUGCUGGAAUUAUAUCGAGUGCUUUGAUUAAUCAGUUAAAUGAAGCAAGCAAUGGUUUGAAGAGAUACUGCCUGGAAACAUGACAGGUGGUUCGGAUAUGGAAAAGUCAAGUGGGUAUUUUAAGCUUCCUAUUCUGGACUAUGCUUUUAAACUCGGCUGUUUUCUCCUAAGCUGAGAUUCCAGAACAGUACCAGGAGACCAAAUGCUAGACAUUAAGGGUUUUUAGUGACAUUUUUGAAUUUAGAAUAAAGCUGGAAAGUGUGGUGUUUUCACUGUUCUCA